CGUCUAUAUACGUAUAGCAUAUCAAUAAGCGGAGGAAAAGAAACUAACUAGGAUUCCCUCAGUAACGGCGAGUGAAGCGGGAAGAGCUCAAAUUUGAAAUCUUCAAGGUUCUACCUUGACGAAUUGUAGUUUAAAGAAGUGUUUUCUGUUGGUGAUUUUGGUAAAAGUUCUUUGGAAAUAGGACAUCAUAGAGGAGUGAGAAUCCCGUAUUUGACCAUUAUUUCCAGCUUUGUGAUACACUUUCAAAGAGUCGGAUUGUUUGGGAAUGCAGUCCAAAAUGGGUGGUAAAUUUCAUCUAAAGCUAAAUACUGGCGAGAGACCGAUAGCGAACAAGUACCGUGAGGGAAAGAUGAAAAGAACUUUGAAAAGAGAGUUAAACAGUACGUGAAAUUGUCAAAAGGGAAGCGUUUGACACCAGUGUUGUUUUCUCGAAAAUCAAUUAAAAAUGGCGGGAUUUUGUGUUGUAUUGACUUUAUCAGCUUUCUGCACUUUUUUCUUGUCUUUUUUAAUGCACUUUUCGUUUAACAAGUCAACAUCAAUUUCUUUUGUUGUAAAAGGGUCAUUGGAAGGUGGCUUUCUUUUCGGAGAAAGUGUUUAUAGCCUUUGGCUUCUGCAAUCGGAGAGAUUGAGGUCUGCAGCGUAGAUCCCUCGGGGUUAGAUACAUUUGUGCUAAGUUAUAGCCUUUCAUAGACAACUUGUUGACUAUGAUCAGUCAUGUAGCUUACUCGCUUAUGCUAUUUUACCUACGCUUAGGAUGUUGACGAUCAGCUGAGCGCG
rnacentral:rRNA from 1 species